rnacentral:rRNA from 1 species
CAUUGCGGGGUGCCUAAUACAUGCAGUCGAGCGAACUGAUUAGAAGCUUGCUUCUAUGACGUUAGCGGCGGACGGGUGAGUAACACGUGGGCAACCUGCCUGUAAGACUGGGAUAACUUCGGGAAACCGAAGCUAAUACCGGAUAGGAUCUUCUCCUUCAUGGGAGAUGAUUGAAAGAUGGUUUCGGCUAUCACUUACAGAUGGGCCCGCGGUGCAUUAGCUAGUUGGUGAGGUAACGGCUCACCAAGGCAACGAUGCAUAGCCGACCUGAGAGGGUGAUCGGCCACACUGGGACUGAGACACGGCCCAGACUCCUACGGGAGGCAGCAGUAGGGAAUCUUCCGCAAUGGACGAAAGUCUGACGGAGCAACGCCGCGUGAGUGAUGAAGGCUUUCGGGUCGUAAAACUCUGUUGUUAGGGAAGAACAAGUACAAGAGUAACUGCUCGUACCUUGACGGUACCUAACCAGAAAGCCACGGCUAACUACGUGCCAGCAGCCGCGUUAAUACGUAUGUGGUAAGCGUUAUCCCGAAUUAUUGGGCGUAAAGCGCGCGCAG